AGAGUUUGAUCCUGGCUCAGGAUGAACGCUAGCUACAGGCUUAACACAUGCAAGUCGAGGGGCAGCAUGGUCUUAGCUUGCUAAGGCCGAUGGCGACCGGCGCACGGGUGAGUAACACGUAUCCAACCUGCCGUCUACUCUUGGACAGCCUUCUGAAAGGAAGAUUAAUACAAGAUGGCAUCAUGAGUCCACAUGUUCACAUGAUUAAAGGUAUUCCGGUAGACGAUGGGGAUGCGUUCCAUUAGAUAGUAGGCGGGGUAACGGCCCACCUAGUCUUCGAUGGAUAGGGGUUCUGAGAGGAAGGUCCCCCACAUUGGAACUGAGACACGGUCCAAACUCCUACGGGAGGCAGCAGUGAGGAAUAUUGGUCAAUGGGCGAGAGCCUGAACCAGCCAAGUAGCGUGAAGGAUGACUGCCCUAUGGGUUGUAAACUUCUUUUAUAAAGGAAUAAAGUCGGGUAUGCAUACCCGUUUGCAUGUACUUUAUGAAUAAGGAUCGGCUAACUCCGUGCCAGCAGCCGCGGUAAUACGGAGGAUCCGAGCGUUAUCCGGAUUUAUUGGGUUUAAAGGGAGCGUAGAUGGAUGUUUAAGUCAGUUGUGAAAGUUUGCGGCUCAACCGUAAAAUUGCAGUUGAUACUGGAUAUCUUGAGUGCAGUUGAGGCAGGCGGAAUUCGUGGUGUAGCGGUGAAAUGCUUAGAUAUCACGAAGAACUCCGAUUGCGAAGGCAGCUUGCUGGACUGUAACUGACGCUGAUGCUCGAAAGUGUGGGUAUCAAACAGGAUUAGAUACCCUGGUAGUCCACACAGUAAACGAUGAAUACUCGCUGUUUGCGAUAUACAGUAAGCGGCCAAGCGAAAGCGUUAAGUAUUCCACCUGGGGAGUACGCCGGCAACGGUGAAACUCAAAGGAAUUGACGGGGGCCCGCACAAGCGGAGGAACAUGUGGUUUAA
rnacentral:rRNA from 1 species